CCUACGGGAGGCAGCAGUGGGGGAUAUUGCACAAUGGGGGAAACCCUGAUGCAGCGACGCCGCGUGUGGGAAGACGGUCCUCUGGAUUGUAAACCACUGUCCCCAGGGACGAAGAUGACGGUACCUGGGGAGGAAGUUCCGGCUAACUACGUGCCAGCAGCCGCGGUAAUACGUAGGGCGCGAGGGGUGUCGGGAAUUACGGGGUGAAAAGGGAGGGGAGGCGGGGCUUCAAGGUGGGGGUCAAGUCUACCGGUCAAACCGAUAGCCGCACUCAAGACUGGAGUUCUUGAGUGAAGUAGAGGCAGGCGGAAUUCCUAGUGUAGCGGUGAAAUGCGUAGAUAUUAGGAGGAACACCGGUGGCGAAGGCAGCCUACUGGGCUUUUACUGACGCUGAGGCUCGAAAGUGUGGGGAGCAAACAGGAUUAGAUACCCGGGUAGUC
rnacentral:rRNA from 1 species